rnacentral:rRNA from 1 species
UAGAGUUUGAUCAUGGCUCAGAUUGAACGCUGGCGGCAGGCCUAACACAUGCAAGUCGAGCGGCAGCACAGGGGAACUUGUUCCCUGGGUGGCGAGCGGCGGACGGGUGAGUAAUGGCUGGGAACCUGCCCUGAUGUGGGGGAUAACAGUUGGAAACGACUGCUAAUACCGCAUGAUGUCUACGGACCAAAGAGGAGGACCUUCGGGCUUCUCGCGUCAGGAUGGGCCCAGUUGGGAUUAGCUAGUUGGUAGGGUAAUGGCCUACCAAGGCGACGAUCCCUAGCUGGUUUGAGAGGAUGAUCAGCCACACUGGAACUGAGACACGGUCCAGACUCCUACGGGAGGCAGCAGUGGGGAAUAUUGCACAAUGGGCGCAAGCCUGAUGCAGCCAUGCCGCGUGUGUGAAGAAGGCCUUCGGGUUGUAAAGCACUUUCAGCAGUGAGGAAGGUUACGUAGUUAAUACCUGCGUGAUUUGACGUUAGCUGCAGAAGAAGCACCGGCUAACUCCGUGCCAGCAGCCGCGGUAAUACGGAGGGUGCGAGCGUUAAUCGGAAUUACUGGGCGUAAAGCGCAUGCAGGCGGUCUGUUAAGCAAGAUGUGAAAGCCCCGGGCUUAACCU